GGAAGUGUGUGUCUUGUGAUGGCACAGCUGAACAUUGAUCGCUGAAGGUUUCGCAGAUCUGCUCAGUACGUGUUGUCACGUGGUUCAUUCCAGAAGUCUG
rnacentral:snRNA from 1 species